UACGUAGGGGGCAAGCGUUAUCCGGAUUUACUGGGUGUAAAGGGAGCGUAGACGGCAGUGCAAGUCUGGAGUGAAAGGCGGGGGCUCAACCCCCGGACUGCUCUGGAAACUGUACGGCUGGAGUGCAGGAGAGGUAAGUGGAAUUCCUAGUGUAGCGGUGAAAUGCGUAGAUAUUAGGAGGAACACCAGUGGCGAAGGCGGCUUACUGGACUGUAACUGACGUUGAGGCUCGAAAGCGUGGGGAGCAAAUAGG
rnacentral:rRNA from 1 species